rnacentral:tRNA from 1 species
UCCUGGGUGGCUUAGUGGUUGAGCGUCUGCCUUUGAUUCAGAACAUGAUCCCAGGAU